GAUGAACGCUGGCGGAGUGCCUAACACAUGCAAGUCGAGCGGCAGCGCGAGUAGUUUACUACUUGGCGGCGAGCGGCGGACGGCUGAGUAACGCGUGGGAACAUGCCCCAAAGUGAGGAAUAACUGCCCGAAAGGGUAGCUAAUGCCGCAUACGAUCUUCGGAUUAAAGGAUUUAUCCGCUUUGGGAGUGGCCUGCGUACGAUUAGAUAGUUGGUGAGGUAAUGGCUCACCAAGUCUACGAUCGUUAACUGGUUUGAGAGGAUGAUCAGUCAGACUGGAACUGAGACACGGUCCAGGACUCCUACGGGAGGCAGCAGUGAGGAAUCUUCCACAAUGGACGGAAAGUCUGAUGGAGCAACUCCGCGUGCAGGA
rnacentral:rRNA from 1 species